rnacentral:rRNA from 1 species
CAAAAACAUUUCUUCUAUUAACUCAUUGAAGUACUCCCUGCUCACUGAUCUAUUUAAAGAGCCACAGUAUAUUAACUGUUCUAAGGUAGCAAAAUCAUUUGAUAGAUAAUUGCUUUCUAGAAUGAAAGGGUAAACAAGAAUAAUGCUUUCUUCCCACCUUUGGAUAAUUUUCAAAAUUAAAUAAAAAUGUUUAUUCCUCCUAGAAGGACGACAAGACCCUAGAACCUAACUUAUUUCUUAAACUAUUUACUGGGACGGUAAAAUUAACUCAAAAAAAUAAACAAACAUUCUGCAUGAAUACUUCCAAACCUGCCACUUCAUGAUUAAUAAGGUACUCUAGGGAUAACAGCAUAAUUUUUUUUUAGAGCCCUCAUCGACAAAAAAGAUUUUGACCUCGAUGUUGAAUUAUAAUUCCUGGAUCAAGCAACCUUUAUUCAAGGAGGUCUGUUCGACCUUUAAACCUAUACGUGAUCUGAG